CAGUAGCCACGGGAACACGGAGGAUCCAAGCGUUAUCCGGAAUCAUUGGGCUUAAAGGGUCCGUAGGCGGUUUAGUAAGUCAGUGGUGAAAGCCCAUCGCUCAACGGUGGAACGGCCAUUGAUACUGCUGAACUUGAAUUAUUAGGAAGUAACUAGAAUAUGUAGUGUAGCGGUGAAAUGCUUAGAGAUUACAUGGAAUACCGAUUGCGAAGGCAGGUUACUACUAAUUGAUUGACGCUGAUGGACGAAAGCGUGGGGAGCGAACAGGAUUAGAUACCCCGGUAGUCCCUGUCUCUUAUAC
rnacentral:rRNA from 1 species